rnacentral:misc_RNA from 1 species
AACAGCAGGAGCCUUGGAUUUGACAAAGGGGCGUCGCUCGUACAAAUUGUGAGUGAACUGAGUCUCCAUCGACCUUGGCCUUUCUUCUCUUCGCUCUCCUAGUUCAAAGCGAGAGGUUUGUNNNNNNNNNNAGAAUUUUGGUGGUGAAGGAGCAGGAUUUAUGUGGAAUUAGGGUUAGGGUUUCAUUUUUGGGAGAGGAGGAUAGAGCGACAUAAGAGGAAGGCAGGAAGGA